CAGAUAUCAGAAUCUACAUAACUUUCACCACGUAAUUGCGUUACAUACCUGAUUUCUUUAGUUUGCGCUUUUUUUUGAACUACAUUAAAGGAUUUUGAUCUCGUUUAAGUUCGUCGAACAUUUUUAUGUAUGUAUAUUUUGUUUCAUAAUACCUUUUAAAUCUUUAAUUUCGGUCUAGUUCGAUUGAUACAUAAACAAAGUAUUUACUAAUUCAUAUCAACUAACGGCUAACAGACUUAGUUGGGUUUUCUGAUUUUGUUUACUUUUACAUUUUUACGAGUAUAAACAAAUAUUUUUUUCGAUUUGUCUUUACGAUUUUCAUAUUUCUAUAUAUAUUUAUUUAUGUUUGAUUUCUGUGCGAGUAAUGCAAGUAAAAUUGGCUUUUCUUUUUGAUAAUGUAUUUUUUUUUUUUUUUUUUAGAUUUCAAUUGAAUCGAAUGAAACCCGCUUGCUUAGUUAGUAUGGAACAUAGUUAAGGUAUUUUAAUCUGUGUGCCUAGGUUGAGGGUUCUAAAUGCUUCUCGCUGCAUCAACAUAAUCAAAUAUAUAAUAAUAAUAUAUGUAUAUUUAUAUUUGUAUAUAGUGAAAUAUAAUGAAGGAUAACGAGACCAUACAAAAUAUCAGACUAAACAUUUGCGUUUCGUUUAAAAAAUAUCAGCAUAUUCGUAAUUAGAGUUAACUUUGUUUCGCCUCGAUAAGGCAGAAUUCUAGUUCAGUUUUUAAUUUUUAAUUUUUUUUUUUUUUAAUGUAUAUAUUAAUAUGAUCCUAAUGUCGCAGCACAAAAGUGCUUAGUUAUGGUUAAGUUUGGUUUCUUCUUCAUCUUGAUAAUGAUAAUCAUAUUGGGUAUAUAUAUAUAUAUAUAUUUAUGGCUAUAUAUACGUGUUCCUAGGGCACGGGAAUGCCUGCUGCAGUUGCCUACUUUUGCAUUUCUAAUUCGAUUUCCAUUUCGAUUUCGAUUUGCCAGCUACACAUAAUUCUUCGUCGUAUAGAAAAAUACAUACAAACUUCUCAUUCUCGAUACAAUAUAGGUAUGUCUAUAUAUAAAGCAGAUUUUCUUUAUAGUUUGACCAUUUUUUUUUUUUUUUUUAAAUUGUUGUGAAAAACUUUUGACAAGCUCGGAUUUUGAAGUUAAAGUUUUUGAGUUCAAAUUCAAAUCAGAUAAAUUUUUAUAUAAAAAUUUGCGUGUGUGUGUUUUUUAAAUGACUCGAAAAAUGGAACACAUUUAAGGAUAUUCAUAAAUGUUGUCUUGCAAGAGUUUUACCUGCAAUGCGAACAGAACAGAUCUGACCCAAUCGAGUGCUGCAAGUAAUUAAUGAAAUGUAAAUUUUGCAGGUGAUUGCAGAGAGUUGCCGUUGGUAAGAAGAAUGG